AAAUGGAACAUCCAAAGUAAAGCUCAUGGUGGGACUGGCUCUAUUGGCUGUAAUUCUGCACCAAGGCUGAAUUUUGGGAAAGAGACUUCAGAUACAGUAUUAGGGGACCACUAAGGCCUAUA